ensembl:snoRNA
CUGUGUAUUUUGUUUAAUUUGUAGACAAAGACUUACAGAUAGAAACAAAAAGUAAAUUCUCUUUUGCAACUCAAAAGUCAUUUCUCAGUAUGAAUUUUGAUAUGUAAAGGAGGAAUCUU